ACAACCGCUGGUUAUCCCGUCCGUCGGUUAAAGUGUCCGAGAAAGAGCGGGGAGAGACUGUUGGCCCCCUCUCUGAAAUGUAGAGAGGAAGGAGAUCUCUCUCUCUCUCCCUCUGGAAUUCCCUGGCCUCUCUCCUUCUGCACUAGGCAGCCAUGAGGGUUCCUUCUUCGAGGUACCUCGACGGAGAUGCGGAGUCGCUUUUCCGGUCGAGGCCGAUUUCUGAGAUCCGCUCGGUCGAGGCGUCGACGCGGAAGGAGAUCGACAACAAGCAGGAGGAACUGCGGCAGCUCGUCGGCCGGAGUUACCGCGAUCUCAUCCAAUCCGCGGAUUUCAUCCUCCUCAUGAAGGCCUCCUCCGAAUCCAUCUGUGCUAAUCUCUGCCGCAUUGACACCUCCAUUCGGUCGCUCUCCGCCGCCGACGGCGAUGAAGCUAACAAUUCCGCGGGCGGCGCCGGCCACGUCGGUUACAAGGAGCGGAGAAAGAAGCUCUACGGCGUUGGAUGUAGGAUAAAGUACCUGGUCGAUACGCCGGAGAACAUUUGGGGGUUUCUUGACGAGUCAAUGUUCUUGGACGCCGCUGGUAGGUACCUCAGGGCUAGAAAGGUUCAUAGUUUGCUCGUGGAGAGCCCUUCGGCGAAGGAGUUCCUCGGGAACUUUCCCCUUCUGCAGCACCAGUUUCAGUUGGUCGAGAGCUUCAAGGGGCAGAUCUCGCAGAGGAGCAGAGACAGAUUGCUAGAUCCGGUCGGCUGUAGCGGCAGCACCGCCGAGCUUUUCGCCGAUGCGCUGUCUGCCAUCUCUAUAGUUGAUGAGCUUGGCCCGGAUCAGAUGCUUGCUCUCUUUCUUGAAUCUCGCCGAUCGUGGGUCUCUCAGGCGAUGCGAAACUCGCAAGCCUUCGACGGGCACUCUUCUGCUGCCUUCGCAGCCGUAUCUAGGAGCUUCUGUGAGGUGGUGACCAUAAUUCAGAUUACCCUCGGCCAAGUGGGCGAGCUCUUCCUUCGCACCUCCAAUGACCUACCAUUGUUCUAUAAGAAAGUUUUGAGCGCCCCGCCGGGAUCGCAACUCUUCGGGGGGAUUCCGGAUCACGAGGAGGAAGCCAAGGCUUGGAAACAGCACUGGGAGAAGCUUGAGUCCGUGAUGUGCAUGCUUGAGCCGGAGUUCAUCUCGGAGAGUUGCUUAUCGUGGGUUAACUCGGUGUCCGAGCUCGUGAAUUCCGCCGUUCUGAGCGACGGGCGCCGGUUGGUGGAAGCUUUUGGAAGUGGGGGGCGUUUGGCAUCUGUUGAAAAGGACGUGAGAGCGAAAGUGGACGAGAAAGAAGCUCUGGGCGGUAGCUUGGAGUGGCUCAGAAGUUACUAUGGCUUGGUUAUUGAGUCUCCAUGGGAGGGCAUCUGCCGACUUGUUCUUGGGCAACCCAAGAAUCUGUGGGAUGAAUUGUUCGAGCAGACUUUUGUUCACAGAAUGAAGGAAAUAAUCAAUCUGGCCUUCGAGGAAAUGGUUAGGAGUGUUAAAAUCAAAGAUGCCCUCAAGGAAGGUGUCGAGUCUCACAGUUCCCUGAAAAAAUCCUCUUCAUAUGGCAGCUUUUGGUUCACUGACAGAAUCACAAGUACUAAGAAAGUGGGAUUGACUCCCAUGAAGGCGAUGGAUGACGAGAAUGACUUUCAUGCGUGCCUUGAUGCGUACUUUGGAUCACAAGUCAGUCGAAUUAGAGAUGCAGUGGACGAUAAAUGCAAGAGUAUUUUGGAAGACCUCUUGUGCUUCACCGGGGUGCAGAAACCGAGCCCCAGGUUGAAGGAGCUGGCACCUUUUAUUCAGGAAAGGUGCUUCAAUAGUCUAUCAAAAAUUGUCAAGGAACUGGAAGAGGAGCUGGGGCUUCUUUCCACUGCUUUGAACGAUAAACACGGCGACAAAGAACAAUUGUCUCUUAUUGUUGAGAAAUCUCUUCUGAUUGGGCGGCUCUUCUUUGCUUUGCGCAAUCAUUCAAGCUACAUUCCGUUGAUUCUUGGGUCCCCAACAGUGUGGACGACUCAAGGAAAAGCUAACAAUUUUGCUAAAGGAUCGUCGAAUGUAUGGCAGCCAAGGGGUAGUCUUGAUCAACCGAUACUCGAAAGCCCUAGAAUACAAAGCUUGUCAUCACCUCGUGUUGGUUUUCAUGCUUAUGGAUUGGAUGAGAAUGCAAAUCCGAAACUUCAAGAACUCAGCAAGACCUUGAGGGAUCUUUGUGUGAAGGCACAUAAACUGUGGAUAUCAUGGAUGUCCAAUCAGUUGGCUAUGGCUCUUGCCAAGGAUCUUUCAAUGGAUGAUGCGUUAUCCACCAGUACUGCCUUGAAGGGUUGGGAAGAAACUAUACUUAAACAAGAUCAGUCAAAAGAAUCUAGUGGUGAAUCUUUAGAGGAGAUGAAAAUAGCGCUUCCUUCCAUGCCUUCACUAUAUGUUACGUCUUUCCUGUUUGAAGCAUGCCAAGAGAUUCAUAGAGUUGGAGGCCAUGUACUUGACAAAGUUAUCUUGCAAACUUUUUCACAGACACUACUGGAAAAGGCAGUGACUACAUAUAGGAAUUUCUUAAAUACCGAGACCCGUACAGUUCAGGUGUCUGAAAAGGGAAUUCUUCAACUUAUAUUUGAUUUGCGGUUUAUCUCUGACGUGCUUUCUUGUCGAAGUGAACCAUUUUUGAGCAGCGAUGCUGAUAUUAAAGAGAAAGAACUGUUGAAACGGAUUCCUUUUCGAAGUAAGCACAGUUCAGUUCCACCUGUUUCUGCUAGUGUGAAUCCUACCCAAUCAUUGAUACAUGCAUUUUCUCAGAGGCUGGAUCCAAUAGAUUGGGCUACAUUCGAGUCCUACCUUUGGGAGAAUGAGAAGCAAUGGUACCAGCGCAAUGCAGUCUUGUUUGGGUUCUUAGUGCAACUCAAUCGUCUUUACACAAAUACUGUCCAAAAGCUGCCUGCGAAAGCUGAGUCUAAUAUUUUUAGAUCUGCAGUACUUCCACGGUUCAAGUACCUUCCCAUAAGUGCUCCUGUAUUAUCAUCAAGAGGUCCAUCCACGCCAACUCGUUCUGGUUCAUCUGAUGAAUUAUCCUCAAGAAGCUCUUGGAAGGCUUAUUCAAAUGGAGAGCAUUCCCCAAAACCUGAGUUUGAUGAUUCUUCCAGUUUCACUACUGCAACUCCACUAUUCAAGUCCUUUAUGACACAGGUUGGUAGCAAAUUUGGGGAGAGCACAUUUAGACUUGGCUCCAUGCUCACAGAUGGGCAAGUAGGCAGACUUAAGGACAAGUCAGCUGCGGCCAUGUCUACAUUUGGAGAUAUUUUACCUGUUCAGGCUGCUGGCCUUCUUUCUUCCUUCACGGCAGGAGCAACAAGAUCAGAUUCUUGAUUGUGCAGUCCACCUUAUGAUCCAAAUUGUGUUUUGAAUACGGAGAAUCCUGGACUUCACCUGAGUGUACAGCGGCUGGAUGUUGUUUCAAAGUUGUAUUUGGAUGAAAUCACCUUUUCAACAGGGAAAGAAGCCAAGACUGGAAGUACUUCGGCUGAGUUCUGUUGCAUGUCUUUUCAUCAGCAGCUUAUGGUGGUGUCGUUGUGUUCAUAGAAGUUGGCCCCACCCCACCUAGAUAAGGCAACAUAAGUCGAUCUUUUCUCAAAAUCUUCAGCUAUGAAGUCAAAUGACAUAAUCAUGCCCACAAAAUUCCUACCACGAUUUGUCUAUGACUUAGAAUUUGAGAAUUGAUGCAGCUCUGCUAUGUUUUGUCAUAUUUAAAUUUAACUCGGUUAUGACAAUUUGAAAUAUAUCAGCUGAUGUGUAUGACGUUUCUAAUGAAAUAACAUGUAAAAGUAGCUGUGUUGAUUGAUUUGGGAAAACCAACACUUGGGAUUAUGAUGC